rnacentral:rRNA from 1 species
UACGUAGGUGACCAGCGUUGUCCGGAUUUACUGGGCGUAAAGAGCGCGCAGGCGGUCGUUCAAGUCGAGUGUGAAAGCCCCCGGCUCAACUGGGGAGGGUCACUCGAUACUGAUCGACUUGAAGGCAGGAGAGGGAAGCGGAAUUCCCGGUGUAGUGGUGAAAUGCGUAGAGAUCGGGAGGAACAUCAGUGGCGAAGGCGGCCAUCUGGGACAACACUGACGCUGAGGCACGAAAGCGUGGGGAGCAAACAGG